AGAGGGUGCAAGCGUUAAUCGGGACUGACUGGGCGUAAAGGGCAUGUAGGCGGUAAUACAAGUUAUCUGUGAAAAUCUUGGGGCUUUAACCUAAGACGUGCAGCUAAUACUGUGUAACUGGAGUUUAGUAGAGGAGAGCGGAAUUUCCGGAGUAGCGGUGAAAUGCGUAGAUACCGGAAGGAACAUUCGUGGCGAAGGCGGCUCUCUGGACUAAAACUGACGCUGAGGUGCGAAAGCGUGGGGAGCGAACAGGAUUAGAUACCCUGGUAGUCCACGCUGUAAACGAUGAGUACUAGCUGUUGGAAUGCGAUGACAUUUUAGUAGCGCAGCAAACGCGAUAAGUACUCCGCCUGGGGAUUACGGCCGCAAGGCUA
rnacentral:rRNA from 1 species